GCCCCGGUAGCCCAAUCUGGUAGCCAGGCAACGGACUUAAAAUCCGCACAGUGUGGGUUCGACUCCCACCCGGGGUA
rnacentral:tRNA from 1 species